rnacentral:rRNA from 1 species
UACGGAGGAGGCGAGCGUUGUCCGGAAUUACUGGGAGUAAAGGGCGCGUAGGCGGCCUGAUAAGUCGGGGGUGAAAUUCAGCGGCUCAACCGCUGGACUGCCUUCGAGACUGUCGGGCUCGAGCACGGUAGAGGCUGGUGGAAUUCCCGGUGUAGCGGUGGAAUGCGUAGAGAUCGGGAAGAACAUCGGUGGCGAAGGCGGCCAGCUGGGCCGUUGCUGACGCUGAGGCGCGACAGCGUGGGGAGCAAACAGG